AUUAACCGCUACGGAUCUGAGUUUACGAGACAAGACGAAACUACAGGCUUUGAAAGAGCUCCUUCCCAGGCUCACAGGCAGCAGACGUGACGAAGAAGGAAACAGCGGUUCUUCAAUACAGAAGGAAAUGGAGUCCCAGGGAGGCUAAGUGACUUGCCGAAAGUCAUACAGCAGGUAAAUGGGAAAGGCAAGAUCUGCGACUAGAUUUCCCUGACUCCGAGAGAGGACGGAAGACAGGAGAGGCCUGGAAAGGGGUGUAGAGGGACAAGAUGAAGAGGACGGGGCUACGUGGAAGAAGAAAGAAUGGAAAGAGGGAAAGAGAAGGCACAGAGAGAGUGGCAGCCCCGCUGCCCCGUGGCUCACCGCCGGUCCAGAGCAUGGUAACACUGGCGCAUCCAGCCCAGAGGUGGGACCUGGGCUCUAGUCGUGCCUCCGCUCAAGUGGACAAGCAGGUAAUUUUCAGCUACCAGCAGCUCCAGAGUUCCCACCAUAUACCUGGGGGGCACACAACUGUCAAGGAAGGGACAUGCUUCAGGAUGUGGGGUGUCGGGGGGACAUGACUGUAGACUUUCCAGUCAGCUGCUGAUCACAGGGCGUUCUUGUUGUUGCUUUUCCCUCCCAACAUCCACCCUGGGGCCCUUCAGGGCGUCGGACUCACCUGAACAAGUGCUCCAUGACAUAGGUAUAGUUGGGGAUGCUGCUGCUGGGUAGGUAACAGGAAGCAAAGACAAUGACAGCAUUGAGGCCAUCACCAUGGUAACCUGGAGAGGACAAAGGGACCAUUUAUUCAGUCAACAGCUACACAUUGACAGUACAUCUGUUUAGGUUGAAGGACUCUGAGGGUCUCUGAAAGUUACAGGAAGGAUUUUGUACCCAGUAACUGAGUUUCCAACUCAAGCCUUUUAUUCAGCCCAUGUCCCUAAACGCUUAGAGUGGACAUCUCUAGUUUGUGUCAUCUUCAAGUCACCACACCCAGCUGCUGACAGCAGUGAAGCUGACGUGGGGCUCGAACUCAUGAACUGCAAGAUCAUGACCUGAGCCAAAGUCAGACACUCAAUCAACAGAGCCACCCAGGUGCCCCAGCCAUAUUUCCUUUCUUGAUGACUCCACCCAUCUAGCGGCCUGAGAGAGAAAACUGAUGUCAUCCAAGAUUUUCUUCUCUGUCAGUGCUCAAGCCAGCUGGACCCCAUAUCUUCUUCCAUCUAUCUCCAUUGUAUUCUCUUAUUAUUCUUUCCACUAUUGCUGUCCUGAUUCAGGUUCUUAGCAUUACUCACCUGGCUUUAGUGCUAACCUCUUAACUGGUCUCCUUGCCUCUAGUUUGUUUACUUCAUUCCACCUUCUACCCCCUUGCUACAGCAAGCUUUGUUUUCUACCCUAUCUUUCUUAUUCAAAUGGCAAUAUACCAUAUCCAGCAAUUCUGCAUGAUCCUUCCAUAGCAAUGGAAACAGCCGCUUCAUCUUAAGAAAUUGUUGCCUAGUAUUUAGUAUUCCAUUGCAUGGACACACUGUAUUAGAUUUAAUACUCGACUGAUGGACCUUUAGGUUGUUUCCAACCUCUUUAGAGCCGUCAAAUCUGAUCAUGUUACUCCCUUGAUUAAAACCAUUCAGUGCCUUUUCAUUGCCUACUGGAUAAAAUCUAAACUCCUCAGUAUGGUAGCAAGGACCUCCAUGAUUUGACUCUUGCCAACUUAACAUAGCACCCUGAUUCAGAAGCUCAAGUGACAAUUUGGACAUGUGGUUGGCAUCUGAAGUCCAGGGCAGUCCUGUAGGGGAGCCCUUAACCUGUGGGGUCUGUGCUGACUCCAGUCAAGCAGCAUGGCUGAACUGUAAGACACCCUUUUGAUGUCUGGAGAAGUGGAGAAUUGGUUGGGGUGGGGAAAACCCACACAUCUGGUGUCGGAAGUGUUGUGAGUAGAGAAGAAACAAAGUUUUCCUUAAUAUCAAAAUAGUCAUGCUUAAUACUUUGAAUUCUCCAACAUGCCACGUUCUUACUCAACUUGUUUCUUCCACCUAGAAUGCCUCCCCAGCUACCUGAUAAAGGCCAGCUCAGAAUCACCUCCUCUGUGAAGUCUUUCCUAAUGUUUCUCAGGCAGAAUUGACCUUGUUCUCAUCCCUGCUGACCCAUAACCUAUACAUAUGUAGACCAUAAUCCUUAACUAUAUUUAUUUGCAUAAAAUAUGUAUAUUUUAAUUUCCUAUUAAACAGAGAAUUCCCUGAGGAUAGGACUAUCUUAUUCAUCUUUAUAACUUGGUUCUUGGUCAGUAAUAGCAUGUAACACUCACCGGAUAAAAUUUUCCUUAAUAAACAAAGGACCCUCCCCACCCCUCUACUGAUGACUCUCGCAUGGGAUCUAUAGGCUCUAGCUUUCUGUUCUGAGGAAAGUAAUUUUGCUGACCUUAUCACUUGGUCCCCACAUUAUUGCUUCUAACUUUAGUCCGAUUAAAUCCAUCCUGAGCUGCUUUAACUCUAGCUUCUACUCCUACCAGCUCCAGCCUCAGGUUUCUUUCCCACCUUCCCAUUCAAAUUCAUGUCCACUGUCCAGCUGCUCCGAGUCUGAAGGUGUCUCCAGUUCGUCUACCUCCAGGUCAGAACUGCCAUCAGGAGAGGAAGGUUCGGAAUGAGUGGGAGAAGCUCCACGGCCUCCACUCUCCUUAGUCAGAUUCAGCUGCAACUCUGGGGCAGAGAGACGCUUACGCAUGGGGCGUGGGCUACACAGGGCUAAAGUGCUUGGUGUACCUGGGAUUGGGAGAAAGGAGAAAAGAAUAAAAAAAUAUGUGUGUGUUGGCAAGAAGAGAUGGAAUUCCUGCAUAUAGAAGUAGUGAGAUGGGGUAAAUUCUAAAGAAGAACUAACAUGGGACAUUGGGGAAAAGAGAAGUAGAACUGUGAUGGGAUGAGGGCAGCAGUCUGGGCUAGAAUCAAGAACUUGAGGCCUACUUUUUUUUUUUUUUUUAAUGUUUAUUUAUUUUUGAGAGAGAAAGAGCGUGAGUGGAGGAGGGGCAGAGAGAGAGGAAGACACAGAAUCCGAAGCAGGCUCUAGGCUCCCAGCUGUCAGCACAAAUCCUGACACGGGGCCUGAACUCAUGAGCCGUGAGAUCAUGACCUGAGCCGAAGUUGGACACUCAACCGACUGAGCCACCCAGGGGCCCCGAGACCUAUGUUCUAAUUUACCAACCUGCCUGUGAGUCUCUCUUGGGAUCCUCAGGAUCUUCAGAACGGUCAACUUCUUCAGGAAGAAGUCUAGAGGGGAAAGAUUCCAAGGGGGAGCAGAAAUGAGGGUAACCGCAUCGAGCCAGGUAUCAGUUUAUCAGUCCUCUUGCCCUGCCACGAUUUUCUCACCUCUGCCUCCCUCCCCCGCUCCUUCCUUCAAGUCCUAAGGAACAUCCCUUAAAGUCCUCACCUGGGGAAUCCCUCAUCCUGCCACUCUUCCUUCAGCUCCAGCUCCCCGAGUCUCAGGGGUGCUGCUGGCCCUGCUUCAGCAUUCUCCCCAGCCCUAAGAGUCCCAGGGGAGAAGAGGUGAUCGUGAGACAAACUCGGCAGUGUCUUCAGGGAACUGGAUCGUAGGUUCACGAAAACAGUACACCAGACCCCAGAGCACCGAAGUCAGAACUGCUGACACAUCUCAACACGUGCAACUGAGGUGGUUUGAGCAACCGCCCUCCCUACCCCGACCGCCCCCAGCAGUCACUUCUGAGACAGUGAGGCAGCAGUCGACUGUGACAGUGAGAUCUGACUGCACUUCUCGAAGAUGGCCUCAGCUGAGAGUUUUGGCAGCCCCUGAUCCAGGGGGCAUUCGUCCACCAGGCUGUUCAUGGGCGUGGGGGGCAGUGGAGGCUCCUCCUCAUCUUGACUCAGUCCAGGCACCAGGGAGCUCCCUGCCCUGUCCAAGUCCUUGUCCGCCUGCUCCCUGCACACACCCUCGGUCUCGGGCUGCCCUGACGGGAUCUUCACAGAGUCAGAAUAUGCUGACAGGGCCUCCUGGAGCAGAGGCAGAAGUUUCUUCCGAGAUACCUGGGUGUUGCCCUGAAGAUAGGCCUGGAGGUUAGGGUGGGUGCUUGGGGCAGGGGUCAGCUUCAGGGACGGAGAGUGGGAGCAUUCCAGAACUCCACAGAUCUAAAGAGGAGACAAGAUGGGGAGAUGGUAUACGUGAGGUGGUGAAGCAAACAGCUGGGGUCUCUUAAGUUAGAGGCUUCCCUUAUAGAAGGAGAAACACUUUUGAUUAAAUCAGCCAGAGUUCAGUA